rnacentral:rRNA from 1 species
GACGAACGCUGGCGGCGUGCUUAACACAUGCGAGUCGAACGGAAAGGCCCUGCUUUUGUGGGGUGCUCGAGUGGUGAACGGGUGAGUAACACGUGAGUAACCUGCCCUUGACUUUGGGAUAACUUCAGGAAACUGGGGCUAAUACCGGAUAGGAGCUCCUGCUGCAUGGUGGGGGUUGGAAAGUUUCGGCGGUUGGGGAUGGACUCGCGGCUUAUCAGCUUGUUGGUGGGGUAGUGGCUUACCAAGGCUUUGACGGGUAGCCGGCCUGAGAGGGUGACCGGCCACAUUGGGACUGAGAUACGGCCCAGACUCCUACGGGAGGCAGCAGUGGGGAAUAUUGCACAAUGGGCGGAAGCCUGAUGCAGCAACGCCGCGUGCGGGAUGACGGCCUUCGGGUUGUAAUCCGCUUUCGCCUGUGACGAAGCGUGAGUGACGGUAAUGGGUAAAGAAGCACCGGCUAACUACGUG